rnacentral:rRNA from 1 species
GACGAACGCUGGCGGCGUGCUUAACACAUGCAAGUCGAACGGAAAGGCCCUGCUUUUGUGGGGUGCUCGAGUGGCGAACGGGUGAGUAACACGUGAGUAACCUGCCCUUGACUUUGGGAUAACUUCAGGAAACUGGGGCUAAUACCGGAUAGGAGCUCCUGCUGCAUGGUGGGGGUUGGAAAGUUUCGGCGGUUGGGGAUGGACUCGCGGCUUAUCAGCUUGUUGGUGGGGUAGUGGCUUACCAAGGCUUUGACGGGUAGCCGGCCUGAGAGGGUGACCGGCCACAUGGGGAAGGGGAUAGGGCCCAAACUCCUACGGGGGGCAGCGGGGGGGAAUUUGCCACAAGGGGCGGAAGCCGGAUGCAGAAACGCCGGGGGGGGGAGGACGGCCUUGGGGUUGUAAACCGCUUUCGCUUGGGACGAGGGGGGGGGGAGGGAAAUGGGUAAAGAAGCACCGGCUAACUACGU